AGGACGAACGCUGGCGGCGUGCUUAACACAUGCAAGUCGAGCGGAAAGGCCCUUCGGGGUACUCGAGCGGCGAACGGGUGAGUAACACGUGAGUAAUCUGCCCCUAGCUCUGGGAUAGCUCCGGGAAACCGGGAUUAAUACCAGAUACGACCACUUUAGACAUCUGUUGUGGUGGAAAGAAUUUUGGCUAGGGAUGAGCUCGCGGCCUAUCAGCUUGUUGGUGAGGUAACGGCUCACCAAGGCGACGACGGGUAGCCGGCCUGAGAGGGCGACCGGCCACACUGGGACUGAGACACGGCCCAGACUCCUACGGGAGGCAGCAGUGGGGAAUAUUGCGCAAUGGGCGAAAGCCUGACGCAGCGACGCCGCGUGGGGGAUGAAGGCCUUCGGGUUGUAAACCCCUUUCAGCAGGGACGAAGCGAAAGUGACGGUACUGCAGAAGAAGCGCCGGCUAACUACGCGCCGAGCAGCCGC
rnacentral:rRNA from 1 species